AUUAUGUGUUAGAGUGCUUUCCACACAAUAGAGCGCUUUCGCGCAUUCCAUCUAGAGGGACGCACACGCGCAUAUCCACUAAACCGAAAGCCAAAUAUGGUGUUUACCCCGAAGGCCUGUAUUUGCCUAGAUAUUCACCCACAACCCGGCAGCGUAUGAUGUGCCUGGCUGUCUGCCAGCAUAGCGACCCCCAAGAGAAGAGCCCUCUGAAAGCUUUUCACACGAGGCUCGCCGCGAAAACGGCCGGGUCGGCAAGAUAAAACAAAGCAUUGGGGAAACGUGGAGAUAUUUCUGCGUGCGCCAAGUCUCCACGGUGGACCUGAGGACUGAGGAGGAGGGAUGCAGCACUUACAGGGCCUGAAGCCAUCUGGGACUGGGACUGCAGAAGUGAUUCUCCUGCUUUCUGGGAUCUGGAUCUACAGCUUAUUGAAUGCGUUGAGGAAAGAGCCUUUUCCUCAGUGUUAGACAUUUGUGGCAGGGUGAUAUUGUCUAGACCUUUGGAAUAUGGACCUAUCAUCCAACACACAACAGCCAAUUUUAAGUCUGAAUGCUGAACAGCAUUGCACAUUGAACAGCAGAACAGCUUGUAAUACAGAAAGUGUUGGACACAGUGUGCAGAGAUAGGCUACAUGCAUUAACUCCACUACAGCAUUAAAUUAGGCUUUCAGAGAGCUGGCUGAUCAGGAUCGCUGCAAGCUGACAUGUCAUGAUACCGAGGCCCUGCGUAAACCCGCGGAGACAGAGCAUAAGGCGGUGUGUAUUCAGUCCAGCAACAACACAAACACAAUGGUGCGGUUUGUCUAACGUUUUACCCCACUGACGUCUAGAUGGCAGUAAUAAAAAAUAAAAUAACAAUGAGGUGUAAUUAUGCGUUCCGUUCUGUCCACAAAAGCGAUCUGCUCUCCGCUCACUUUUAUCAAUGGGGCCGUGGGACUGCUGUGGUUUCAGUCUCACAGUGACGCUUUUAAUUCCGAGAGCUAAAAUAAGCGUCAAACUCGAGCCCGCGUUAUUUCAUGAAUUACAGACACGGCUGGGGUUGUGGUUUGGCACACGCGUGCAACCCAUAUCCACAUUAAUAUUCACGUUUUAAGUUCCUUUUUUAUAAAAAAUGAUUUACCGACCGAUAUCCUUAUCCGAAAGCUGACGCCAAGACCGAUGAAAAUAACUUGCGACCCACCUUCAGAGGCUCACCUGAGACGCAGCAGGUCUCGCGACGGGUCCGACGUCAGGACACAAAGCAGAGAGGGGAGAGAGAAAAAGCAAGAGAAGAAGAGGAGAAGUUCUUCAUCAUCUUCAUCUUCCAGCAGCAGCGCCAGCCCUUCCCCCAAAAGGAAACCGCGUCCUGCCUCCGAGAGUCAAGGUUCUUUAUUUCACUCAUAUGCCCAAGGUGUCACAGAAUAGAUUCCCAUGUGUCAUCUUUAAUGCCAAUCUGUACACCAGUGGUCCUCACUCCUGGUCCAAGAGAACCGCAGGGUGUGCUGGCUUUGGUUGCUCAGCACUUAGUGAAUACAUUAAAGCAGUUAAUUACAUGGUUAACUCACCUCACCUGGUUUCUUGGGUCUGAAUUGGCUGCUGAUUUUAAGAUGAAAACAGAAAGCAGUCGAAAGUAACGCUUUUUUGUUUGAUCCAAUUACUAGGGCCGUGCCAACACGUUUGUAAUAACACACAAAUAUGAAAUGUCCAGCUCUGUUUUGAUGCUGUGUUGCAAACAUAAAACACGGAAAAACUUAAAUAAAUCAAUCCUCCACACUCCAUUGGAGUGUGACUG